GACGAACGCUGGCGGCGUGCCUAAUACAUGCAAGUUGAGCGCUGAAGGUUGGUACUUGUACCGACUGGAUGAGCAGCGAACGGGUGAGUAACGCGUGGGGAAUCUGCCUUUGAGCGGGGGACAACAUUUGGAAACGAAUGCUAAUACCGCAUAAAAACUUUAAACACAAGUUUUAAGUUUGAAAGAUGCAAUUGCAUCACUCAAAGAUGAUCCCGCGUUGUAUUAGCUAGUUGGUGAGGUAAAGGCUCACCAAGGCGAUGAUACAUAGCCGACCUGAGAGGGUGGUCGGCCACAUUGGGACUGAGACACGGCCCAAACGCCUACGGGAGGCAGCAGUAGGGAAUCUUCGGCAAUGGACGAAAGUCUGACCGAGCAACGCCGCGUGAGUGAAGAAGGAUGUCGGAUCGUAAAACUCGGUUGGUAGAGAAGAACGUUGGUGAGAGUGGAAAGCUCAUCAAGUGACGGUAACUACCCAGAAAGGGACGGCUAACUACGUG
rnacentral:rRNA from 1 species